AACUGAUGGAGUGAAUUCCUCAGGAGAUGCAGAAGAUAGCCCCGCCCAUCCUGGACUUCCAUCUGUCAUCAGGAGAACAUGACCAUCUGGAUAAGGACCCUCGUGAUUAUAUUUGGGACUACAUGGAUAAUGCAGUGUAUGCUCAAGAUCCCUAACUGAAUCACAUCUGC